CUGAAGAGAGGGGAAAACAUGGCGGCCGCUGCGCGGUGUCUGCACUGUGUUUGAAAAGCUCCCACUGAAGACUCCUAGGGAUGACUGAGGGUGCUUGAUGGAGGGCAGGAGGAGAGAGCUGGGAUCCGGAAUCCAGGCAGUGUACAGGUGGGAGAGAAAAGCACAUGCCUGUAUACCCUGCUGUGGAAAGAACCAGAAAAGCUGAAAGAAAACCUGUGAGGCCAGAAGCUGGGAUGUGGGAAGGCUCGAGAAGGGUGCAGGAGUCUCCAGGAACCAAACUGGUGUCAUGUGGAGGAGGCCAUGUGGCAGAGAUCCGUGGUGGCCUCUGGUUGCUGAGGGCCUCCGUCCCACAACUGCAAGGAACUAGGUUCUGCCAACACCCAGCAAGCCUGGGAGAGGAUGCCAGACUCCAGGGAGAUCACAGACCUGGCAACACCUUGAUCGUGGCUGUUGAAUCUCUGAGCAGAGGACAGAGCUGAGCCAUGCCUCUGUCCCACAGAAACGGUUUCUCACCCAAGAGGCCGGAUGCAGUUCCCUGUGCUGCCCGACAGGGCUCCAUCCAUCACACAUCUGUUCUAAAUGUUAACAGUCUCCACCUACCAACCCCAAGCUCUCCAGCGAUUUUAGCACGCUGCUCUCUGUACACAGCAGGUGCUCAAAUAACUCUUUGUGGAAUGAAGCUGUCUUUCCUCUUGUCUUCAUGUCUCUGCCCCUAAACAGCUUGUCUGGUUCUCUAUGACCUCAGAGAGAACCCCUGAAGCCUUUUCAAAAGCCGACUGUGGCCAGCAGUGAAGAGAGACUGGAUGACAUCCGAUGAGUCGUGGGGACAGGGCAUGUGGAGCAGCAGGGCUAGAGGGUGGGUGGAGUUGAAUAUGCCCAGAUGUUGUUGUAGCAUCUGCUCCUGGUCAGCAUGGGGCAAGAACUGGGGUGGGGGGCUCAGCCUGAGAGUGUGACUCAAGUAGGCACUUACCUGAGUAAUGCAGCAAAUGGACAAGACAUCAUCUAAGGCUUCUUUUUCUUUUUGCCUUUUUUUUUAGGGCUGCAUAUGCAGCAUCUGGAGAUUCCCAGGCUAGGGGUUGAAUUGGAGCUGCAGCUGCUGGCCUAUGCCACAGCCACAGCAAUGCCAGAUCAAAGCCAUGUCUGCGACCUACACCACAGCUCACAGCAGCGCCAGAUCCUUAACCCAGUGAGCGAGGCCGGGGAUCGAACUUGCAUCCUCAUGGAUCCUAAUCAGGUUCAUUAACUGCUGAGCUAUGAAGGGAACUCCUAAGGCUUCUUUCUUCUUUUUUUUUCUUUUCUUUCCAGCAAGGGGGAAAGAUGUUUCUUUCAAACUCAACUGAUAGGGUUUCAGCCACACGCAGAACCGGGUUUUCAGUUGCUUCUCACACUUCAUAUAGCAGCUGGUUGGGAAAUAAAACAUCUUCCAUUUAGAUAAAUAAGCAAAAAAAAAGUCAGAAAAUUAAUAACCAGAAAGACACAUGUUAUUACCCUAUUUCUGAAACAAAACAAAGCCGUGUCAGAGGCAGGCCUCUGUGGCUGAGAUUGUGGGGAGGGAGGGGCUGGGGGCAUGGCAGAGGAAGCCCUGGGUGAUGGCUGGGGCGGGCCAGUGACCCCCAUCUCAUCUGCUUCUCAUCCGGAGCUCUGCUCACUGCCAGCCAGGCUGGGCUGGGCCUCCUGUCUCAGAGCCAGCUCUCCCGGAUCACUGUGACCUAAUCUCCCCCCAGGACUGUUUUCCCCUAAACGUGGCCCCUGUGAGGUCUCCCUUGCACAGAAGACUCUUGGGACUCUCCCCUGCCUGCACAUCCAAACACCUCUGCCCACAGCCUAUUUCUGGCACCAUUUCCCAGGCCCAGUUCCUGCCCAGGGCGAGUCACUGACAUUCAGGAGUGCUAUGUAGGUACCCGGGUCUGUGAAUGGUAGUUUACAUGUAUUGGCUCAUUUAAACCCAGGUGGAUGCUGGAUUUAUCAUACCCAUUUCACAGAUGAGAACAAUGAGGCACAGGGAGUGCUCAGCACCUACAGGUAAAGGCAGAGCUGAACUCCAGAACCCAAGCUUUGGGCUCUGGCUAGAGGUGGCCAGCUACUGGGUCAGGGGCAGAGGCCCCAAACAAAAUUGAAUAAAAAAUUACUAAAAAAUGUAAAAUGAGGGAAUCUCAAAAUACAAUGAAAAAACACUGAGUUAUAUUUGAGAGGAUUUCCUUUAAAAAUAUCAACACCUGAGUUCCUGUUGUGGCUCAGUGGGUUAAGAACCUGACAUAGUAUCCAUGAGGAUGCUGGUUCAAUCCCUGGCCUUGAUUAGUGGGUUAAGGAUCUGGCUUGCCACAAGCUGUUGCAGAUGCAGCUCAGACCUAGUGUUAUAGCUUUUGGCGCAGGCCAGCAGCUGCAUUUCCUAUUCAUCCCUUAGCUCGGGAACUUUCAUAUGCCACAGGUACAGCCCUAAAAAGUAAAAAAAAAAAAAAAAAAAAAAAAAAAAAUCAACACUUUGAAUAAACAAAAUCCCUUUGUGUAGUGAUGGUGCCAUAAAGAGAUUUAUAGGAGUUUUGUUUUUUUUUUUUUGCUUUUUAGAGCCACACCUGG
rnacentral:lncRNA from 1 species